AGGGAAUAUUAGAAAUGGACGAAAGUCUGAUCUAGCAACACCGCGUGUGCGAAGAAGGCCUUCGGGUCGUAAAGCACUUUUUGGAAGGAAUAGGAAGGAAUGUACUUCCAGAAUAAGUCUCGGCUAACUACGUGCCAGCAGCCGCGGUAACACGUAGGAGGCGAACGUUAUCCGGAUUUACUGGGCGUAAAGCGCGUGUAGGUGGUACUGUAAGUAGGGCGUGAAAGCUCCUGGCUCAACUGGGAGAGGCCGUUCUAAACUACAGAACUAGAGGAUGGUAGAGGGAGGUGGAAUUCCAGGUGUAGCGGUGGAAUGCGCAGAUAUCUGGAGGAACACCGGUGGCGAAGGCGGCCUCCUGGACCAUUCCUGACACUCAGACGCGAAAGCUAGGGUAGCAAACGG
rnacentral:rRNA from 1 species